GCACGGGUUAACUAUGGGUUAACCAUGUCUCUUAGGAAUGUGGAAAGGGCGACAAAACGGAAGGGCCGCCCCAUGGGACGGCCCUUCGAAACU
rnacentral:sRNA from 1 species